rnacentral:lncRNA from 1 species
UAGCUUCGAUGGAGCACCUGUCCGUACUAGCAGUUCAGUACAUUCUAGAUCUAUUUUCUUGAAAGCAAACCUUCUCAACUCUAUGGCACCGGUGUUCUAUGCAAACAACAUUUAUUAAUAGGAAAAGCCACGGAAACAGAAAAAAAGGAAAUAAAAUAAAAGGGAAAUAAAGGAAGAAGGCCAAGAUAACUUACUCUACGAAAGAAUACCUUGAACCACUAUUCAACUUUUUUUUUAUGGCAAUACCUUUCUGGAGCUUCUAGCGACGGUUGUACCACUUGGAGCACUUGUGAAACGGGACGGGCAUGGGCAAAAACACCUGAAAGG